GAAUUUUGAACAAUGGGCGAAAGACUGAUCCAGCAAUGCCGCGUGCAGGAUGAAGGCCUUCGGGUUGUAAACUGCUCUUGUACGGAACGAAAAGCUUUGGGUUAAUACCCUGGAGUCAUUACGGUACCGUCAGUCUACGCACCGGCUAACUAAGACCCCGCAGCCGCGGGAAUACGUAGGGUGCAAGCGUUAAUCGGAAUUACUGGGCGUAAAGCGGGCGCAGGCGGUUUUGUAAGACAGAGGUGAAAUCCCCGGGCUCAACCUGGGAACUGCCUUUGUGACUGCAAGGCUAGAGUACGGCAGAGGGGGGUGGAAUUCCGCGUGUAGCAGUGAAAUGCGUAGAUAUGCGGAGGAACACCGAUGGCGAAGGCAACCCCCUGGGCCUGUACUGACGCUCAUGCACGAAAGCGUGGGGAGCAAACAGG
rnacentral:rRNA from 1 species